UUCGAUUGUGCCAGCAGCCGCGGUAAUACAGAGGGUGCAAGCGUUAAUCGGAUUUACUGGGCGUAAAGCGCGCGUAGGUGGCCAAUUAAGUCAAAUGUGAAAUCCCCGAGCUUAACUUGGGAAUUGCAUUCGAUACUGGUUGGCUAGAGUAUGGGAGAGGAUGGUAGAAUUCCAGGUGUAGCGGUGAAAUGCGUAGAGAUCUGGAGGAAUACCGAUGGCGAAGGCAGCCAUCUGGCCUAAUACUGACACUGAGGUGCGAAAGCAUGGGGAGCAAACAGGAUUAGAUACCCUGGUAGUCCAUGCCGUAAACGAUGUCUACUAGCCGUUGGGGCCUUUGAGGCUUUAGUGGCGCAGCUAACGCGAUAAGUAGACCGCCUGGGGAGUACGGUCGCAAG
rnacentral:rRNA from 1 species